UGCCAGUGAUGAUAAAAUUAGGGCUUGUUUCUCGACACAUCGUAGUUGCCACCUAAGAUCCUUUGCCCUGCCAGGCUUGAGAGAUAAUGUUGUUAGAUCCUUCCUUGGAUGUCUAGGAU